GAACGCACAUUGCACCCGGUGGUAUUCCGCCGGGUAUGCCUGUUCGAGCGUCAUUUCAACCCUCAAGCCCCCGGGCUUGGUGUUGGGGAUCGGCGUGCCCUCGUGGCGCGCCGUCCCCUAAAUCUAGUGGCGGUCUCGCUGUAGCUUCCUCUGCGUAGUAGCAACACUCGCACUGGAUCGCAGCGCGGCCACGCUGUUAAACCCCCCACUUCUGAAAGUUUGACCUCGGAUCAGGUAGGAAUACCCGCUGAACUUAAG
rnacentral:misc_RNA from 1 species